rnacentral:rRNA from 1 species
GACGUAGGGCGCGAGCGUUGUCCGGAUUUAUUGGACGUAAAGAGCUCGUAGGCGGCUUGUCGCGUCGAAUGUGAAAACUCGGGGCUCAACUCCGAGCUUGCAUUCGAUACGGGCAGGCUAGAGUUCGGUAGGGGAGACUGGAAUUCCUGGUGUAGCGGUGAAAUGCGCAGAUAUCAGGAGGAACACCGGUGGCGAAGGCGGGUCUCUGGGCCGAUACUGACGCUGAGGCACGAAAGCGUGGGGAGCAAACAGG